rnacentral:piRNA from 5 species
GUUUCGUACGUAGCAGAGCAGCUCCCU